rnacentral:lncRNA from 1 species
UUUGAGAUGGCAGAGAUUCUUCAGUCUAUCUGAGCUACUGGAGAUGCAAUAGCAAAGGAGAUCCCACUCCAUGCUGGGGCACAGCUGAGCAGUUGGUUGUAAGCCAGCGCCUGAUGCUUUGUGGGGUGCAGAAUAUCUUUGCAAAGACAAUUUUCUAAUCCCUUGCUUUUCUUUUGCCCCAUCCCUGGUAGGCUAAUUGUCCAGCAGGUACUUCAGGAGCUGAAACAAUAUCAUGGGGCGAAGCAGGGAGUUUGUGUGCCAGAAGGCAGCGAUUCUUCCCAGCAGAACCUCACCUGGUUUGAGUUCCUGUCCAACGAAAAUGAGGACAGUGGAAAGACUGAUAAAG